GGAGCGGUAGUUCAGUUGGUUAGAAUACCGGCCUGUCACGCCGGGGGGCGCGGGUUCGAGUCCCGUCCGCUCCGCCA
rnacentral:tRNA from 15 species